rnacentral:lncRNA from 1 species
ACGCAUGUCCAUAUCAUGUUGAUAUUGGAAAACCAUAAUUUUCUUUCUUUCAUAAUGAAUGUCAUCAUCACUUUCACUAUCCGAUGACAUCUGCAUAUAAACAAUCACCAAAAUAUGAAACACAAGUUAGCACCAAUUGGAUCGACAACAUAAGAAUAAUGCAUACAUAAAUAGCAAACACUAGGCUGAACAACAUAGACAUAAAAGAUGGUUCCACAGUGCGUACAUAAAUAGAUGGAAUAGUAUCAAGUAGUUCCCAUACUUUAAGAAGUAGGUUCAACAUAAAAGACACAAAUAGUUUUGAGAGCAAAGGAUAAUCGACCAUCUCACAUAGAUGGAAUGUAAAGUAACUACUUCCCAUACUUCAACUCAUACUUCCUACGCAACCAACCCUUUCGAGAGUCAAGAGGCAUGUAAAGAAACAUCUCCCUUUGCGCCCUCUUCACAAACAAUUCGCUAGCCAUGAAGAACUCAUCGCUAUCAACUGCUGCACCACAAGCAAUGACUUCAUCCAUGACCGAGGUGACACAGUUCGCCUCAUCUUGCUUUAGGAAAGACUGAAAUGAUGAGUGAGAAGCCUCGGCAAUGUCACCAAUCCUUCUAACUUGCUCACACAUCACUUGUGCGGUCUUGGGUUUCUUGUUCUUCUCUAGAAUGAUGAUUCCAAGCCUCACUUUAGAUGAACUAGGUGUUGCCUGAGAUGCUUGUUCUUCCGUAUCAUCCAAAUCAAGAUCCUCGAUCUCAUCAACGUUGAUGGAUUCUUUCACUGCCGCACUAGAGGGGGG